rnacentral:rRNA from 1 species
UACGUAGGGGGCAAGCGUUGUCCGGAAUCAUUGGGCGUAAAGCGCGUGUAGGCGGCUUGGUAAGUCCGUUCUGAAAGCCCGGGGCUCAACCCCGGGAGGCGGAUGGAUACUGCUGAGCUCGAGUCCGGAAGAGGCGAGUGGAAUUCCUGGUGUAGCGGUGAAAUGCGCAGAUAUCGGGAAGAACACCCGUGGCGAAGGCGGCUCUCUGGAACGCAACUGACGCUGAGACGCGAAAGCGUGGGGAGCAAACAGG